AAAUAAUAAAAAAAAAAUAAACCUAUCCCUUAGGUGACAUAAGUAACAUGUCGGCCCUUUUGUCUAAUAAAUAAACCUAUCCCACAUUAGUGGGUGACCACCGGCCCAAACCACCAACUAAAUAAGCAAACCCAACCGGCCCAUAUUGCCCAAAUACUGUUAUAAUACAAGUUACGUAUCCAUUCUCUUUGUCUCAUAAUUGCAACACAUCAACCCUAAUUAUUCAUCACACAACGGCAGUAGCAAGACCCCUGUUUCUGUUUCGGUUUACAUCACAACUAGUCGGAUUUCUGGGCGUUUAUGAACAGACAGUUAAGCGAGUAAAUAAUCUUACCGAGCAAAACCAAGGUCCAGGUAUCUUGGAUUUGGGAACUUGCUGUCUGGAAUAGCUGGAGUGGUCAUGGGUCGACUGGAGGGAAUCAUGUAUUUAAACUAUUGAUACUAUACAUUGGUUUCGAAACAGUUUAACUUGGGUUUACUAUUUGCUUCCGCUGAACAUGUUGGUUUUCAUUUAAACUUGUUAAUGAUAAUUGAGGAUUUUAUUUGGAAAUUUGUAUGGGUUCAAUGUAAUUAGUGGCUUGUUGUUGGUACGUCACACGCCUAACAGGGACAUUCCCUAGGUGGUAGU